UACGUAGGGUGCAAGCGUUAAUCGGAAUUACUGGGCGUAAAGCGUGCGCAGGCGGCUAUGCAAGACAGAUGUGAAAGCCCCGGGCUCAACCUGGGAAUGGCAAUGGAUACUGGCAAGCUAGAGUGCGGUAGAGGGUAGUGGAAUUCCCGGUGUAGCGGUGAAAUGCGUAGAGAUCGGGAGGAACACCAGUGGCGAAGGCGGCUACCUGGACCAGCACUGACACUGAGGCACGAAAGCGUGGGGAGCAAACAGG
rnacentral:rRNA from 1 species